GACGAACGCUGGCGGCGUGCUUAACACAUGCAAGUCGAACGGAAAGGCCCUGCUUGCAGGGUACUCGAGUGGCGAACGGGUGAGUAACACGUGGGUGAUCUGCCCUGCACUUCGGGAUACGCCUGGGAAACUGGGUCUAAUACCGGAUAGGAGCCAUUUUUAGUGUGAUGGUUGGAAAGUUUUUUCGGUGUAGGAUGAGCUCGCGGCCUAUCAGCUUGUUGGUGGGGUAAUGGCCUACCAAGGCGGCGACGGGUAGCCGGCCUGAGAGGGUGGACGGCCACCUUGAGUCUGAGAGACGGCACAGACGCGUACGGGAGGCAGCAGUGGGGAAUAUUGCACAAUGGGUGCAAGCCUGAUGAAGAGACGCUGCGUGGGGGAUGACGGCCUUAGGGUUGUGAACGCGUUUCGCUAGGGACGCAGCUUUUUGUGACGGUACCUAGAUAAGAAGCACCGGCUAACUACGUG
rnacentral:rRNA from 1 species